rnacentral:rRNA from 1 species
UACGUAGGGUGCAAGCGUUAAUCGGAAUUACUGGGCGUAAAGCGUGCGCAGGCGGUUAUGCAAGACAGAUGUGAAAUCCCCGGGCUUAACCUGGGAACCGCAUUUGUGACUGCAUAGCUGGAGUACGGCAGAGGGGGAUGGAAUUCCGCGUGUAGCAGUGAAAUGCGUAGAUAUCUGGAGGAACACCGGUGGCGAAGGCGGCAUCCUGGACCGGUAUUGACGCUGAGGCGCGAAAGCUAGGGGAGCAAAC